rnacentral:lncRNA from 1 species
UUACUCUCUCUCACAACAGCUACAGUAGCCGCACAACAGCAAACCACCAUCAGUACCCCAACCCCAUUACUCAAUCUCUUCCUCUCGGCAACACAACCAAGAACCUCCUCACCAAUUUCUUCUCCUCACCAAGAUCUAUCCUCUAUCACCAAGACCACCAUCUCUCUCUCACCUCUCAUUAUUCUUCACCAUUCCUCAAUCAAAUUUCAUCAUUUUGUCAAGGAUCCGGGUUUAGGUAUAAGAGAGAAUAUAAUUCCAAGCUAGUCAUGCUCACUCUUUAGUGUAGUUGUGAUUAGUGUUGGUCUCUCUCUUUUCUUUACUCUCUUCUUGCUUUAAUUUAUUGUAAUUGAUGAAUUUCUUUGUGGGGCUUGAUGCCCUAGCAAUUUUUACCAUGUAAUGACAUUAAUUUUUUGUGCUUA